UACGUAGGGUGCAAGCGUUGUCCGGAAUUAUUGGGCGUAAAGAGCUCGUAGGCGGUCUGUUGCGUCGGCUGUGAAAACCCGGGGCUCAACCCCGGGCCUGCAGCCGAUACGGGCAGACUAGAGUUCGGCAGGGGAGACUGGAAUUCAUGGUGUAGCAGUGAAAUGCGUAGAGAUCAUGAGGAAGACCAGUGGCGAAGGCGGGUCUCUGGACAGUUCCUGACACUGAGGCACGAAGACCAGGGGAGCAAACGGG
rnacentral:rRNA from 1 species